rnacentral:lncRNA from 1 species
GUGAGGAGCGUCUCUGCCCGGCCGCCCCGUCUGAGAAGUGAGGAGCCCCUCCGCCCGGCAGCCACCCCGUCUGGGAAGUGAGGAGCCCCUCCGCCCGGCAGCCGCCCCAUCUGCGAAUAAGAUGAAGAGGCCUGAGCAGUUUCGUGGAGGGGAAGAAACAGGAAAACCUCUUCAAAAGACAAAAAGCUGGCACUGCAUUCUCUCUCUGUAGCAGGACAGAACUGUCUAAAGACAAGACCCCUUUGGCCAAAAUAAAGGAACCUGAAACAUUACUAAUGACCCUUCAAAAGCUUCAGUUGUUUGUUUCCUUUAAUUAACAUCUAAAUAGAUUAUACAUCUUCUAUAAUUAUAAUAUGGAAAUGUAUAUGAGCAAAAUAUAUAAAUUUUUUGGUGACUGCUUAGGGAAGAAUGAUGUCAGUGAAGUUCAUCCAAGGUCUUAAGCAGCAGCAUCUAUGCAGCCAGGGCGUGGUCAGCGUUUGGGGACAGAGGUAAAUAUCCGCAAUCCAUGCAUCUCUUU